AAACAGUGACACCGGAUACUAAUACAUGCGGACCAGCAAUGCGGACAAGGGGGGCUAGAAAAGUUAAGGAUGCACAUUGUGAGGAGAAGGUACGCAGGAGAAAGCUAAUAAUUUUACCAGAUAGUGACUUGGACACUCCGAUGGAAAACAUUGA